AAGGAAGGCACUUUGUGACCAGAUACUAGAAGUAUUGAUUGUAAAGACUACAUAUUCUCUUUAAGUGCUUAGUUUCAGGGAUGUAUUUUUUUUUUUUUAAUAGAUUGAACAUCAGUGAACUGCUGAAUGCUACAAGAACGAUGUCCACUACUCUUUCUGCCUGUAGUGUUGCAGCUGGCACAGCUAGCAAGUAUCAACCUGGAGGACUUGUGUUGGGAAGGUGGGAGGUCAAAAGUUUA
rnacentral:lncRNA from 1 species